AACGAACGCUGGCGGCAUGCCUAACACAUGCAAGUCGAACGAGACCUUCGGGUCUAGUGGCGCACGGGUGCGUAACGCGUGGGAACCUGCCCUUAGGUUCGGAAUAACUCCCCGAAAGGGGUGCUAAUACCGGAUAAUGUCUUCGGACCAAAGAUUUAUCGCCUUUGGAUGGGCCCGCGUUGGAUUAGCUAGUUGGUAGGGUAAAAGCCUACCAAGGCGACGAUCCAUAGCUGGUCUGAGAGGAUGAUCAGCCACACUGGGACUGAGACACGGCCCAGACUCCUACGGGAGGCAGCAGUGGGGAAUAUUGGACAAUGGGCGAAAGCCUGAUCCAGCAAUGCCGCGUGAGUGAUGAAGGCCUUAGGGUUGUAAAGCUCUUUUACCCGGGAUGAUAAGGACAGUACCGGGAGAAUAAACUCCGGCUAACUCCGU
rnacentral:rRNA from 1 species